GUCGUUGAUGAGCCCAGUCGCCGCCGAUCUGGUCUGAGGGUGAGGGAAUGCGAACAGAAGGGAAGAUGGGGAGCCACCGCCGCUGCUGGCUGAACCCCUCAAUGCUCCAUAUCGCCUCUGCCGUCUGGAACUGGCUUCGCCAUAGCUGAAAGGCUGGGCUUGGAAGGUGCUUCCGUCGUCAUCUCUUCUCGCAAGCAGCAAAAUGUUGAAGAGGCUGCAGAGAAACUUAGGGCUAAAGGAAUUGAAGUUUUGGCCCUUGUUUGCCAUGUCUCCAACGAUCAACAGAGAAAGGAUUUGAUUCA